rnacentral:rRNA from 1 species
GACGAACGCUGGCGGCGUGCUUAACACAUGCAAGUCGAACGGAAAGGCCCCUUUGGGGGUCCUCAAGUGGCGAACGGGUGAGUAACACGUGAGUAACCUGCCCUUUACUUCGGGAUAACUUCAGGAAACUGGGGCUAAUACCGGAUAGGAAUCCUUGCUGCAUGGUGGGGGUUGGAAAGCUUCGGCGGUUUUGGAUGGACUCGCGGCUUAUCAGCUUGUUGGUGGGGUAGUGGCUUACCAAGGCUUUUACGGGUAGCCGGCCUGAGGGGGCGACCGGCCACAUUGGGACUGAGAUAAGGCCCAGACUCCUACGGGAGGCAGGCGUGGGGAAUAUUGCCCAAUGGGCGGAAGCCUGAUGCCGCAAAGCGGCGGGCGGGAUGACGGGCUUCGGGUUGUAAACCGCUUUCAGCAGGGGCGAAGCUUGUGGUGACGGUACCUGCAGAAGAAGCACCGGCUAACUACGUG